rnacentral:lncRNA from 1 species
CUGAGGAGUGCAUGACAGGUGCUCGUGGGAUGACAGGGCUCGGGGCCCUCCAGCUGCUGCUGCUGCCACCGCUUGUCCUGCUGGGCGGCCACCCCGUCCCAGGGAGGAAGAGCACUCACGGCUGCUACUGAUCUCCUUUGAGGGCUUCCACUGAGACUAGGAUCAGGAUGUGGACACCCCCAACCUGGAUGGUCUGGCUGGGGAGGGCGUCAAGGCCAAGUACCUCAUGCCGCCCUUUGUCACGAUGACCUCCCCGUCCCACUUCACCGCCAUCCCGGAUCACAAAGGCCUUUUGCCUGUGCUUUCUGCCCUGCUCUCUCCAGCCCCAGGGCCUUGGCCUGUGCUAGUCCAGUCCCUCCAGCUCACCAGGAGCAUGCAGUCCAGUCGGGGAGACAGACACCAGACACCCUAACAGGCACAUACAUCCCGUGACAACUCAGGAGGCACCAAGGAGGAAAACGAGUUUUCCAGGCACAGACUACAGGGGUUACUGGGUCAGAGCUCACGGAGUCAUUCACAACAUGAUGUUUAACACUGAGACGCUCUGGAAGUGCUCCUUCAAGACUCAGAAGAAGACCCAGUGCUGAGACAGUCGUGUUCUCUCUCUCUCUGGAUCACCGCCCAGAGACAAGGACUGCCGGAGACCCUGGCUUCCCCGGCUGCUGCCUCUCAUUCCUGCGCCGGUGGGAUGAGAGUUCGAAGCUGUGCGACCUUGACCAAGUUACUUACCCUCUCUAAGCAUUUGUUUCCCUAAAUGUGAAAUAGGGAUGAUGGUGGUGUUUUUUAUAUAUUUCACAGAUUUGAUAGAAGGAUUAAGUGAGAGAUGCAUCAAAAGCAGUGGGCACAGGGUCAAUGCUCAGUGAGCUUUCACUUUUCUUAUCAAUAGACAGGUCUCCAUGAGGACAGAGACUGGCUUCAUCUUGACUGCAGCCUCAGGGCUGGCCACAGUGUCCGCACCCAGCAGGACUUCAGUAAAUAUCUGUUUAUACACUAACCACAGACUUAGGCAUAAAAGCCCUUUGGAAGAAAGUUGACCAUUUCAUGCACCUUCAGACUAUGAAGAGCAGUGACGACAACUUUAGCUUGAGAGGCUCUCAGUGCCCAUUCAUCACCACUGUGAAAAGGCAGAAACCAGAGCUGUGUGUUUAACUCCCAGCCCCAAAACCUGUUGGCUUUGCUUUAUCACUAUGAGCUUCCAAUGGCUUCCCUUUAGAAUGGGGCCUCUCUCUUCUUCCCCAAGGCACCAGCCUUUGCCCCAGACCUCUCCUUAUUACCUGGUUCCUCCUCUCUGUACUCUGAGCCCAUGCUGUGCUCGUCAGAUAGCACAUGGCAGAAUACAGCAGCCCAGAAUGCAGGCUGCAGAGUUAGAUCCCCAGAACAGGAUCUCAGCCGGCUCCAUCCUUCCUCAGCUGGGUGACCGUGGCCAAUGACUUGCUCUCUGUGCCUGAGUUGCUCCAUCUGUGAAAUGAAGAUUGUCACAGUCCCUGCUUCAAAGAGUCACUGGGAGGAUUAACUGAGAAAGUGCAGGGAAAGUGCUUGGAAGUAAAUGCUCAAAAAAAGUCCAUCUGGCCAGGUGCGGUGUCUCAUGCCUGUAAUCCCAGCACUUCAGGAGACCAAGGCAGGCGGAUCACUUGAGGUCAGGAAUUCAAGACCAGCCUGGUCAACAUGGCAAAACCCCAACUGUACUAAAAAUACAAAACUUAGCCAGGCAUGGUGGCAGGCACCUGUAAUUCCAGCUACUUGGGAGGCUGAGGCAUGAGAAUCGCUUGAACCUGGGA